rnacentral:misc_RNA from 1 species
GGAAGAAGCAGCCGAUGAGCCCCGCGACGAUGGAGUUCCCCACGAUGUAGUUGGGCGCCAGCGCGCUGAGGCAGGCGACGAAGGAGUUGGCGGUGAGCAUGACGAGCCAGACGACGAGCGCGAAGUAGGCGAAGGCGGCGGGCUCGCGCGCCAGGCCCACGAGCCAGUACACGGGCGCCGCGUACAGCACCGCCGCGGCGAGGAGGAACGGCAGGAAGACGGCGGCGUUGGAGGCGACGUACGAGGACACGCGGUAGGCGCCGCGGGAGGUCUCCCGCUCCAGGAUGCGGCGCUCGUGGAGGAACACGGGCAGGGCCUCGGUGGUGGAGGUGAGCAGGUAGGUGAGGUUGAAGGCGAAGAAGCCGAGGCGGGACUGCAGGUCGGUGGUGCCCAGGAAGAUGCUGCCGAGGAACGCGCCGACCAGCACCGACUGCGCCAUCCGCGCCGCGAACAGCUGCGGCGUCCGCAGCACCGUCUUCACGAACCGCCCCGCCAGGAUGCGCACCUCCGCCGCCGGCGAGUUGGCGUACCCCGCGCGCGGCCCGUCUUGUCGGUUCGCUGGAGUGGCGGCGGUGAUCGUGGUGACCGCCGUGGCUACGGCGACGUCGGGCUUGAGGGAGUCGAUGGUCUCCAUGGCGUACUCGAGCACGUUGACGUGGGCGGGGAUGGCGUGGCCGGUGGCGAUGAGGCGCGACUGGAGGAAGUCGAGGGAGCCGUGGUGGCGGACGGCUCCGUCGGCGAGGAGCACGACGCGGUCGAUGAGCUCGAGGAUGCGGAACCCCGGCUGGUGGAUGGUGAGCACGACGGUCUUGGCGUGCGCGGCGGCCAUGUCCCUGAGCAUCUUGACGAUGUGGAGCGCGGAGCCGGAGUCGAGCCCCGACGUGGGCUCGUCCAGCAGCAGCACGGCCGGGUCGUGCACGAGGUCCAUCCCGAUGGACACCCGCCUCCGCUCGCCGCCGGACACGUCGGCGACCCUGGACGCGGCGACGUGGGCGAGGCCGAGCUCCGCCAUGAGCUCCCGCGCCCGGUGCUCCGCGCCGGACGGCGUCCCGCCCCCGCCCCCGCCGCGCAGGCGCAGGCGCAGGCGCGCGCUGUACACGAGCGACUCCUCGACGGUGAGCGCCGGGAACAGCGCGUCGUCCUGCGGCACGUAGCCGGACACGCGGCGGAACCCGGCGGCGUCCAUGGGCACCCCGUUCACCAGCACCUCCCCGGCCACCACCCGCGCCGGGUCCGCCGAGCCGGCCAGCACCGAGAGCAGCGUGGUCUUGCCCGCCCCGCUGGGCCCCACGACCGCCAGCAGCUCCCCCGGCGGCGCCUCGCAGGUGACGCCGCGCAGCAGCAGCCUCUCCUCCUUCCCCUUGGUGGCGGACGACCACGGGACGAGAAGCGCGCGCGGCGGGAGCACGUAGGACAGCGCCCUGGUCUCGAUGCGGUACCGCUGCCUCCGGCGGCCGCCGCCGCUGUCCUUGCUGCGGCCCAGCUGCGACAUCACCGUCGCCUCCUCCAUCGUCGGAGACGGCGAAAGGUAUAACAGGUGGUGGUACGUGGUGGUCGGGGAGAAAGAGCAGGCGACGUGCGGUGCUCGGCGCUCGCAGAGG